rnacentral:rRNA from 1 species
UGGGGAAUAUUGGACAAUGGGUGAAAGCCUGAUCCAGCCAUGCCGCGUGUGUGAAGAAGGUCUUCGGAUUGUAAAGCACUUUAAGUUGGGAGGAAGGGCAGUAAGCGAAUACCUUGCUGUUUUGACGUUACCGACAGAAUAAGCACCGGCUAACUCUGUGCCAGCAGCCGCGGUAAUACAGAGGGUGCAAGCGUUAAUCGGAAUUACUGGGCGUAAAGCGCGCGUAGGUGGUUCGUUAAGUUGAAUGUGAAAGCCCCGGGCUCAACCUGGGAACUGCAUCCAAAACUGGCGAGCUAGAGUAGGGCAGAGGGUGGUGGAAUUUCCUGUGUAGCGGUGAAAUGCGUAGAUAUAGGAAGGAACACCAGUGGCGAAGGCGACCACCUGGGCUCAUACUGACACUGAGGUGCGAAAGCGUGGGGAGCAAACAGG